rnacentral:rRNA from 1 species
UACGGAGGAUGCGAGCGUUAUCCGGAUUUAUUGGGUUUAAAGGGUGCGUAGGCGGAUCGUUAAGUCAGUGGUCAAAUUGAGGGGCUCAACCCCUUCCCGCCAUUGAAACUGGCGAUCUUGAGUGGAAGAGAAGUAUGCGGAAUGCGUGGUGUAGCGGUGAAAUGCAUAGAUAUCACGCAGAACCCCGAUUGCGAAGGCAGCAUGCCGGCUUCCGACUGACGCUGAAGCACGGAAGCGUGGGGAUCGAACAGG